rnacentral:rRNA from 1 species
ACGUGUAAAGGGCUGACGGUACUCUGCGAAUAAGGAUCGGCUAACUCCGUGCCAGCAGCCGCGGUAAUACGGAGGAUCCAAGCGUUAUCCGGAAUCAUUGGGUUUAAAGGGUCCGUAGGCGGAUUUAUAAGUCAGUGGUGAAAGUCUUCCGCUUAACGGGAGAACUGCCAUUGAUACUGUAGAUCUUGAAUUAUUAUGAAGUGGUUAGAAUGUGUAGUGUAGCGGUGAAAUGCAUAGAUAUUACACAGAAUACCGAUUGCGAAGGCAGAUCACUAAUAAUAUAUUGACGCUGAUGGACGAAAGCGUAGGUAGCGAACAGGAUUAGAUACCCUGGUAGUCUACGCCGUAAACGAUGGUUACUAGCUGUCCGGCCUAAUUGAGGGCUGGGUGGUUAAGCGAAAGUGAUAAGUAACCCACCUGGGGAGUACGUUCGCAAGAAUGAAACUCAAAGGAAUUGACGGGGGCCCGCACAAGCGGUGGAGCAUGUGGUUUAAUUCGAUGAUACGCGAGGAACCUUACCAGGGCUUAAAUGCAGUCUGACAGGGAUGGAAACAUCUUUUUCUUCGGACAGAUUGCAAGGUGCUGCAUGGUUGUCGUCAGCUCGUGCCGUGAGGUGUCAGGUUAAGUCCUAUAACGAGCGCAACCCCUGUGGUUAGUUGCCAGCACGUAAUGGUGGGAACUCUAGCCAGACUGCCGGUGCAAACCGUGAGGAAGGUGGGGAUGACGUCAAAUCAUCACGGCCCUUACGUCCUGGGCCACACACGUGCUACAAUGGUAGGGACAGAGAGCAGCCACUGGGCGACCAGGAGCGAAUCUAUAAACCCUAUCACAGUUCGGAUCGUAGUCUGCAACUCGACUACGUGAAGCUGGAAUCGCUAGUAAUCGCAUAUCAGCCAUGAUGCGGUGAAUACGUUCCCGGGCCUUGUACACACCGCCCGUCAAGCCAUGGAAGCUGGGGGUACCUGAAGUCCG